AUUGAACGCUGGCAGCAGGCCUAACACAUGCAAGUCGAACGGUAACAGGAAGCAGCUUGCUGCUUCGCUGACGAGUGGCGGACGGGUGAGUAAUGUCUGGGAAGCUGCCUGAUGGAGGGGGAUAACUACUGGAAACGGUAGCUAAUACCGCAUAAUGUCGCAAGACCAAAGAGGGGGACCUUCGGGCCUCUUGCCAUCGGAUGUGCCCAGAUGGGAUUAGCUUGUUGGUGGGGUAACGGCUCACCAAGGCGACGAUCCCUAGCUGGUCUGAGAGGAUGACCAGCCACACUGGAACUGAGACACGGUCCAGACUCCUACGGGAGGCAGCAGUGGGGAAUAUUGCACAAUGGGCGCAAGCCUGAUGCAGCCAUGCCGCGUGUAUGAAGAAGGCCUUCGGGUUGUAAAGUACUUUCAGCGGGGAGGAAGGGAGUAAAGUUAAUACCUUUGCUCAUUGACGUUACCCGCAGAAGAAGCACCGGCUAACUCCGUG
rnacentral:rRNA from 1 species